GAAGUGCGAUAAGCAGUGCGAAUUGCAGAACCGUGAGUCAUCAGAUUUUUGAACGCAACUGGCGCUGGCUGGGUCUCCAGCCAGCAUGCUUGUUUCAGUGUCUUGUUUUCUCCUCACCCAGAUCAUAAUGCGAGAGAUGCCCUUCUCUUGCCAAGUACGAAAGCGCUCUGCGCUCUGCGAGCGGCGGCUCCGACUUGCUCGGGGUGCCGCACUCAAUGCAGCCGUCACAUUGCUCACAAUGUGAACUCAUUGAGAGCCGAGGCAGUGCAGCAUUUGCUGCCAGUGCUUAGCCAGUCAAACUCUCCUUGUAUCUGAAAUCAAGCAGGAUAACCCGCUGAACUUAA
rnacentral:misc_RNA from 1 species